rnacentral:sRNA from 1 species
ACUUCAUGAACAUGAAAAGUGGAAGGGAAGGUUUUAGUUUAGCCACGUGUGAUGACCUUUUUUGGAGUGAGAUGAGAUGCUGUGUUAUGCAUGAUGUGGGUACAGAAAAUCAUGAGACUCUGUGUGACUGAUGUCUUAUAUGAGGCUUAGGCAUCUCAAAUCUACUCUUGUAAAAGCCCUGCACAAAAAUACAGGUUAAGAUCAUGUGGUUUCCUGGCAAGAACAUAAAAUGGAAGGCUGAAAGAGGGAGAAAUGUAAAUUACACAUUUGAGAAGUGAACAAUGUCCUGACAUUGCAGAUAGAUCUAAAGACAGUCUGGACCAUGAUGUGAUGACUGAAUACUAUACACAACAUUGCUUCUGUUGGCUACUUAUAAACAAUUUCAGAGGUCCACAGAUGUAUAGUUUUGCCAAAUGCAAGAGGAUAGAACUGUGCUUGAUUAGCUGAAAGAUUAUUGUUUAUCAACCUUUUUUUUAUUUGUAACAUAAAAAUGAUUUGUUUUUGUAGACAUGUAUAGUCACAGCAAUUAAGGAAUUCACAAAAAUUUGUUACUAUUGUAAUAAAAAUAUUACUUCAUUCAUAUAAAAA